rnacentral:rRNA from 1 species
GCAGCGGCUGGAGAGGCCCCGCGGGCACUGUCCCAGAAGGAGCAGGACAUACAGAUGAUGCUCGCCGCCGGCGUCCACCUCGGCACCAAGAACUGGGACUUCCAGAUGGAGCGCUACGCCUACAAGCGCCGCUCCGACGGCAUCUACAUCAUCAAUCUGGGCAAGACGUGAGAGAAGCUCCAGCUCGCGGCGAGGGUCAUCGUGGCCAUCGAGAACCCCCAGGACAUCAUCGUCUAGUCCGCCCGCCCCUACGACCAGCACGUCGUCCUCAAGUUCGCGCAGCACACCGGCGGUAACGCCAUCACCGGGAUGCACACCCCUGGUACCUUCACUAACCAGAUGCAGAGCUCCUUCAGCGAGCCCCGCCUGCUCAUCCUCACUGACCCAAGGUUCGACCACCAGCCCAUCAAGGAGUCUGCUCUGGGGAACAUCCCUACCAUUGCCUUCUGUGACACUGACUCUCCCAUGCGAUACGUCGAUAUCGGCAUCCUAGCAAACAACAAGGGGAGGAACAUCAUUGGCUGCCUCUAUUGGCUCAUGACCAGGAUGGUUCUGCAGAUGCCCGGAGAUCGACCGUCCUUGCAUGAUGUACGGUUCUGUUAG